rnacentral:sRNA from 1 species
AGGAGACAUAAGGUCUCUCUGCGUGCAUACACCAAGGAAAAGCCACAUGAGGACAUAACCAGGAAGAGAGCCAUCACCAAGAACCCAACCAUGCGGACACCCUGAUCUCAGACUUCCAGCCUUCAGAACUGUUGCCACAGUUUUGAUGAUCAUCUCUCUCCCAACCAAGAUGGUGGAAAAAGCAAAAACGUGGUGAAUCUUGGAGCAAUCCGACAAGGCAUGAAACGCUUCCAAUUUCUGUUAAACUGCUGUGAGCCAGGGACAAUUCCUGAUGCCUCCAUCCUAGCAGCUGCCUUGGAUCUACUAUGCAGCAUUCUUCUGAUUCAUUUUUCUCCAUUUGUGCUGUUUUUCUCUGUGAUGUGAAUCCAUCCCUAUCCAUUAUGUCAUGCCUCCAUCUUUUGCUGCUUCUUCAGAUUGCACUGAGCCGUAAGAGGAAGCCCCUGUGGUGGCCAGAGCAGCCUUGUUCCUGGAAUGUGCUCGUUUUGUUCACCGCUGCAACCGUGGCAACUGGCCAGAGUGGAUGAAAGGGCACCACGUGAACAUCACCAAG